rnacentral:rRNA from 1 species
UACGUAGGGGGCAAGCGUUGUCCGGAUUUAUUGGGCGUAAAGAGCGUGUAGGCGGCUUGGUAGGUCCGCUGUGAAAACUUGAGGCUCAACCUCGAGAUGUCGGCGGAAACCACUUGGCUAGAGUCCGGAAGAGGAGAGUGGAAUUCCUGGUGUAGCGGUGAAAUGCGCAGAUAUCAGGAAGAACACCUAUGGCGAAGGCAGCUCUCUGGGACGGUACUGACGCUGAGACGCGAAAGCGUGGGGAGCGAACAGG